rnacentral:rRNA from 1 species
GAGUUUGAUCCUGGCUCAGGACGAACGCUGGCGGCGCGCCUAACACAUGCAAGUCGAACGGAGCUUAGAGAGCUUGCUUUUUAAGCUUAGUGGCGAACGGGUGAGUAACGCGUGAGUAACCUGCCCUGGAGUGGGGGACAACAGUUGGAAACGACUGCUAAUACCGCAUAAGCCCACGGUACCGCAUGGUACUGAGGGAAAAGGAUUUAUUCGCUUUAGGAUGGACUCGCGUCCAAUUAGCUAGUUGGUGAGGUAACGGCCCACCAAGGCGACGAUUGGUAGCCGGACUGAGAGGUUGAACGGCCACAUUGGGACUGAGACACGGCCCAGACUCCUACGGGAGGCAGCAGUGGGGGAUAUUGCGCAAUGGGGGAAACCCUGACGCAGCAACGCCGCGUGAAGGAAGAAGGUCUUCGGAUUGUAAACUUCUUUUAUCAGGGACGAAGUAAGUGACGGUACCUGAUGAAUAAGCCACGGCUAACUACGUGCCAGCCGCCGCGGUAAUAC